CACUCAAUGCACCCCUUACACAAACCCACUGCAUCCUUUACAUACACAGAAACAUCCCUUAUACAUACAAACACAGAUUCACACAAUGCAUCCCUUACACACAACCAGAAACACACACUAUAUCCCUUACACACAAACACACACUGCUUUCUAUCCCUUACACAAAAAAAACACACUGCAUCACCUACACAAACUAGUAUCCCUAUACACUACAUUCCAUAAGCACACUUUAGAUCCUCUACAACAGUGGUUCACAACCUUUUUUCUCUUGGCAGCCCAUUCCCAUAUAUAGUACCCUUUAUAUUAGCGAAAUAUUUG